rnacentral:rRNA from 1 species
CACACUGGGAUUGAGAACGGCCCAGACUCCUACGGGGGGCAGCAGUGAGGAAUUUUCCGCAAUGGGCGAAAGCCUGACGGAGCAACGCCGCGUGCAGGAAGACGGCCUUCGGGUUGUAAACUGCUUUUCUUGGGGAAGAUGAUGACGGUACCCAAGGAAGAAGCCCCGGCUAACUACGUGCCAGCCGCCGCCGUAAUAC